CCUACGGGUGGCAGCAGUGAGGAAUAUUGGUCAAUGGGCGAGAGUCUGAACCAGCCAAGUAGCGUGAAGGAUGACUGCCCUAUGGGUUGUAAACUUCUUUUAUAUGGGAAUAAAAUGUUCCACGUGUGGGAUUUUGUAUGUACCAUAUGAAUAAGGAUCGGCUAACUCCGUGCCAGCAGCCGCGGUAAUACGGAGGAUCCGAGCGUUAUCCGGAUUUAUUGGGUUUAAAGGGAGCGUAGGUGGAUUGUUAAGUCAGUUGUGAAAGUUUGCGGCUCAACCGUAAAAUUGCAGUUGAAACUGGCAGUCUUGAGUACAGUAGAGGUGGGCGGAAUUCGUGGUGUAGCGGUGAAAUGCUUAGAUAUCACGAAGAACUCCGAUUGCGAAGGCAGUUCACUGGACUGCAACUGACACUGAGGCUCGAAAGUGUGGGUAUCAAACAGGAUUAGAUACCCUUGUAGUC
rnacentral:rRNA from 1 species